rnacentral:rRNA from 1 species
GCAUAUCAAUAAGCGGAGGAAAAGAAACUAACAAGGAUUCCCUUAGUAACGGCGAGUGAAGCGGGAAGAGCUCAAAUUUGAAAUCUUCAAGGUUCUACCUUGACGAAUUGUAGUUUAAAGAAGUGUUUUCUGUUAGAUGAGUAGCAAAAGUUCCUUGGAAUGGGACAUCAUAGAGGGUGAGAAUCCCGUAUUUGGUUAUUCAUUCUAGCUUUGUGAUACACUUUCAAAGAGUCGGAUUGUUUGGGAAUGCAGUCCAAAAUGGGUGGUAAAUUUCAUCUAAAGCUAAAUAUUGGCGAGAGACCGAUAGCGAACAAGUACCGUGAGGGAAAGAUGAAAAGAACUUUGAAAAGAGAGUUAAACAGUACGUGAAAUUGUCAAAAGGGAAGCGUUUGACACCAGUGUUGUUUUUCCGAAAAUCAAUUACGAAUGGCUUGAUUUUGUGUUGUAUUGACCUUAUCAGCUUUCUGCACUUUUUUCGAGUCUUUCUUAAUGCACUUUUCGGUUAACAAGUCAACAUCAAUUUCUUUUGUUGUAAAAGAGUAUUCGGAGGGUGGCUUUCUUUUCGGAGAAAGUGUUUAUAGCCCUAUACUUCUACAAUCGGAGAGAUUGAGGUCUGCAGCGUAGAUCCUUCGGGGUUAGAUACACUUGUGCUAAGUUGUAGCUUUUCAUAGACAACUUGUUGACUAUGUUUGGUCAUGCGGCUUACUCGCUUGUGCUAUUUUACCUACGCUUAGGAUGUUGACAAAAUGGUUUUAAACGACCCGUCUUGAAACACGGACC